AGUGAACGCUGGCGGUAGGCCUAACACAUGCAAGUCGAACGGCAGCACAGUAAGAGCUUGCUCUUACGGGUGGCGAGUGGCGGACGGGUGAGGAAUACAUCGGAAUCUACUUUUUCGUGGGGGAUAACGUAGGGAAACUUACGCUAAUACCGCAUACGACCUACGGGUGAAUGCAGGGGAUCUUCGGACCUUGCGCGAUUGAAUGAGCCGAUGUCGGAUUAGCUAGUUGGCGGGGUAAAGGCCCACCAAGGCGACGAUCCGUAGCUGGUCUGAGAGGAUGAUCAGCCAAAAUAGAACUGAGAAACGGUCCAGACUGCUACGGGAGGCAGCAGUGGGGAAUAUUGGACAAUAGGCGGAAGCCUGAUCCAGCCAUACCGCGUGGGUUAAGAAGGCCUUCGGGUUGUAAAGCCCUUUUGUUGGGAAAGAAAAGCAGCAGGUUAAUACCCCGCUGUUCUGACGGUACCAAAAGAAUAAGCACCGGCUAACUUCGUG
rnacentral:rRNA from 1 species